rnacentral:rRNA from 1 species
UACAGAGGUGGCAAGCGUUGUUCGGAAUUACUGGGCGUAAAGGGCGCGUAGGCGGCCUUCUAAGUCAGACGUGAAAUCCCCCGGCUUAACCUGGGAACUGCGUCUGAUACUGGGAGGCUUGAGUAUGGGAGAGGGAUGUAGAAUUCCAGGUGUAGCGGUGAAAUGCGUAGAUAUCUGGAGGAACACCGGUGGCGAAGGCGGCAUCCUGGACCAACACUGACGCUGAGGAGCGAAAGCCAGGGGAGCAAACGGG